CCCAUCUGUUUUCUGUCCUACCUUCAGCUGACUGACUCGUCUCAACGGCAAGGAACCCCUUCCUUUCCCUUUUGGUUUCGUCCUAUUCCUCCCUCACUUCUCCACUUGUGACUCGUGAGCGUGUGCCGCUUUUCGCAUCACUCUCAAAGGAAAGCCAGCACUACCCAUUCGUCUUCUCCUUUUUUGCUCCUGUUGUUGCUAAUCCUCAAACACUAACGACAGGCGCUUCUGGUCGGCCAUGGUGCUCCCUUCUGCUUUGGCACUUUCUGUCGCCAAGGUGGUAUGGACCAUUUUGAGAGGAUGGAUAUCUGCCUGUGUCACUAUCGCCUCAGAGAUUGCUCGUGCUUUGAGACUAGGAGAUAUGGGCCCUUUACAUGUUGGAUGAACGAGGAUGCUUUGGACUCGAUUCCUGUCCGUCACUGCAUGAAGUGGUAGUUCCUUUGGUAGAUCGACUGUUUACAGCUUGAUCAGUUUGGGUGCAUAGGAAGCAUUAUUUUCUAAUGAGUAAAUUUCGAGUUUGAAGCAUUAUGCAUAAGAUCAUUGACCCAAAAGGCUUGGCAUAAUGAAGUGGGCCUUGGCUGUCAUGUAGGCAAUCAUGGUUCAGAUUUCGUGGGCAUCAGUCAUUGCAUACGGGUGCAACAUUGCAUGUAUAUAACCUGGAGUUGGAUUUUUUUUUUUCUGGCUCAUGAGUAUUGGAACAUGUUUUUGCUAAGUAAUGUUUUGUCCACUCUUGGGGUGGGAUGGGAGACCUGGCCGUGCUGGUUUAACCUGCCACAAGAUCACGGCCCUGACUCUGUAAAAAUCUCAUAAAUGAUAUCUAGUUCUCUCUCUCUCUCUCUCUCUCUCAUGCCAUAAAUUCA